rnacentral:rRNA from 1 species
UACGUAGGGUCCGAGCGUUGUCCGGAAUUAUUGGGCGUAAAGAGCUCGUAGGCGGUUGUGAGUCGGGUGUGAAAUCUCCACGCUCAACGUGGAGGGGCCACCCGAUACUGCCAUGACUAGAGUCCGGUAGGGGAGUGUGGAAUUCCCGGUGUAGCGGUGAAAUGCGCAGAUAUCGGGAAGAACACCUAUGGCGAAGGCAGCUUGCUGGGACGUUACUGACGCUAAGGCGCGAAAGCGUGGGGAGCGAACAGG